UACGAAGGGUGCAAACGUUGCUCGGAAUUAUUGGGCGUAAAGCGCACGUAGGCGGCUUUGCAAGUCGGGAUGUGAAAUCCCUCGGCUUAACCAAGGAAGUGCAUCCGAAACUGCAGAGCUUGAGUACUUAAGAGGAUCGCGGAAUUCCCGGUGUAGAGGUGAAAUUCGUAGAUAUCGGGAGGAACACCAGUGGCGAAGGCGGCGAUCUGGGAAGAU
rnacentral:rRNA from 1 species